AUGUUGUCACCAACAUCUACUACGAUCUUCUUCACAGACUUGAGGAAGACAGACUCUUGGAUCCAACAAACUGUACUGACCUUUUUUGUGCACAGUAUGUGUUUUUGCCACGAAUCCAAGCAGAUUUGGAGACGUUUAUUGAAGGCUGGAACAAUCACUCUCUUAGGACAGAGCGGAACUACACCCCAAACCAACUAUGGGAGAUUGGAAAGACUCAGAAUCCAGUCAAUCCUCCUGAAAGUAUUGUGGCAGAGUAUCCAGAUGUGGACAUUGCAGACUUGGACCAAACUGGUAUUCACCUUCCAGAACUUGUGUCUCCACUUGACAGUGAGGAUUUGGAAAGAGUGAGACACCUUUUCAAUCCCAUGGAACCCUCUAUGUCCUAUGGGGCUAACAUUUACAGUUCCCUUGUCCAGUAUGUGGAAGGCAUUCUUGAGAACAGGCAGGAUUUAUAGCUUUAUCUAGAGUGAUGGUUGAAAAUAAGAUGCCCUAACAGAUGUUUACAUUAUGUUGAAUUAUCAGUUUUUGUAUCCAAGGACAGUUACUAAAAGUCUGCAUCAAUAUUUAUUUUCAGUUUUUAAUGUUAAUACAUUUUGUGUUAGAUGAGUUUACAGUUAUAUUUUCCUGAUAAUCUGUCAGUUAAUGCAAAGGUAACAUGAUAAAUGCUUUCUGUUCUCAUGUAAGUCCUUUGUUUAAUAAUAGCUUCAAUAAAAUUUUGUUUAGGUGCCAUCAUGCCUAUUCUUGCUGAUUUCUAUUUUUAUUUAAUUGUAAAGGCAAUAUUCAAUGAAUCAACUUUAUUUACAGUCUGACAAGAAUUUUUUUCUUAACUUUGAUGGAGUGGCGACCAGUCUAGAAUGUAACUUGUCCUAUAACUGCUGCUCCAAAUCCAUGUCCUUGACAACUUCUGGAUUUUAAUUUGGGGUGUUCAAGCAUAUUUCCUUUGAUUUACAAAAUGAUUUCAAACAACCUCAAAAAUAAUCAGGAAAGUUAUCAUCCAAUUUUCAUAGCUCAAAACUUGACUUUAUUGAUAACAGCUUGAAAGUGACAAAAACCUCUCAUGACUGUAGAACUGUAAUGUUUUGAUGUGUGUUAGCUGUCCUGCAUGCAGUAAUUAAAUAGCUUGACCACAGCUGACAGUGUGGCAGAUUUUUAUUAUCAUUAUAUUCAACAGCAUUGGACUGUGUGUAACAUUUAAUACAGCUUUAGUAUUAAUCUACUUUUUUCACCUCUUGUAAUCCAUGAAACUGCUUCAAACAAAGAGAUGAUGUGAAUCGGAUGCAUGAUAAUGACUUUAAGUUAACAAAACAACCCUAAACACAAUCAUUAGUUCCUUAACUUCAAAUAUACACUGUUAGACUUUUCAUCUCCACUUUACGGUAACAUACUGGCGUCACUGUUGCCAGCGUCAUACCGUGACGCCGUAUUACUGUAGCUUACCGUUGUGCAGGAUGAUACCGUUUUUUGCUGUUGUGGUAUAAUACUCUUGGACAAAUUAUGGUAACGCACUGUAGCUUUUUUUAUGUCGUUAUGUCGUAAAUUACGUCAACAAAGUAACAUCAUACUGUGAUUAAGAAAUUGGUAUACUACCGUUUAUUCACGGUAUGUCACUGUAAGCCCGCUACAAGGUAAUAAACUGCAAUAUAUUUACCAUUAACUUACCGUUAUCACGCAUCAUCAGUACCAAAAAUAUUAAUCUCUGCUAGAGGAUACCGUGUUCCUACAGGCGGUCAUUUACUGUUUAAC
ensembl:lncRNA